GGCCGAGUGGCGGAAUUGGCAGACGCACAGGACUUAAAAUCCUGCGAUGGGUAACCAUCGUGCGGGUUCGAUCCCCGCCUCGGCCACCU
rnacentral:tRNA from 2 species